GCUGGGCGUGGUGGCGCGUGCCUGUAAUCCCAGCUACUUGGGAGGCUGAGGCAGGAGAAUUGCUUGAACCCAGGAGGUGGAGGUUGCAGUGAGCCGAGAUGGCGCCACUGCACUCCAGCCUGGGUGACAGAGUGAGACUCUGUCUG
rnacentral:SRP_RNA from 1 species